rnacentral:tRNA from 4 species
GCGCUCGUGGCGGAAUUGGUAGACGCGCCAGACUUAGGAUCUGGUAGUUCACGCUGUGAAGGUUCGAGUCCUUUCGGGCGCA